AGCGGGCGCUCCUAGCUGGAAUGAGCUAAUUCCCAGAAGUCACCAGCAGGAGGCACCUCAGGGGUGAGUCUGCAUGUCUACAGAGGGUCACAGCCAACCUGACUGGAAAAUGCUGCAAAGAAUUUAGAGCUCUGCAGAGGAGCCUCUGAAGUGGAGGGGAAGGAGGAUGGUUAGUGGAGCACCCAUUGGAGGACACAUCUCAAAGAACUUCAGUUACAGCACAAGGAAGUGUCUAUCCCUGAGAACCAUCAAGAAGCCAGAUCUGGAGUUGCAGAACUUCAAGAUUUGGGUGAAAAAUUGUAUUGUCAUUCUGAGACGAUGGAUGGCAACUGAUUGGAUGUCUCAGUGAUAGAAGAGAAGCAAGUCAAAUGAGGCAAGAAUAUCAAAUUUGUCUCAGCCAAGUCAGUGCAAUUAAAAUGA